rnacentral:rRNA from 1 species
GAUGAACGCUGGCGGCGUGCCUAAUACAUGCAAGUCGAGCGAACGGACGAGAAGCUUGCUUCUCUGAUGUUAGCGGCGGACGGGUGAGUAACACGUGGAUAACCUACCUAUAAGACUGGGAUAACUUCGGGAAACCGGAGCUAAUACCGGAUAAUAUUUUGAACCGCAUGGUUCAAAAGUGAAAGACGGUCUUGCUGUCACUUAUAGAUGGAUCCGCGCUGCAUUAGCUAGUUGGUAAGGUAACGGCUUACCAAGGCAACGAUGCAUAGCCGACCUGAGAGGGUGAUCGGCCACACUGGAACUGAGACACGGUCCAGACUCCUACGGGAGGCAGCAGUAGGGAAUCUUCCGCAAUGGGCGAAAGCCUGACGGAGCAACGCCGCGUGAGUGAUGAAGGUCUUCGGAUCGUAAAACUCUGUUAUUAGGGAAGAACAUAUGUGUAAGUAACUGUGCACAUCUUGACGGUACCUAAUCAGAAAGCCACGGCGAACUACG